GAGGGAGCAGCGGGGUCCUCUCGCGGGGCGGCACGGGGAGCACGAGCGGGUGGGACCCUCCCCAGCGAGCCCUGUGUCUCUGCCCCGUGUGCCGAGGGGCUAUCGGCACCGGGCAGGGCCUCUCGAGAGUCUGCGAGCGCUCCUGCACGGGGCGUCUCAGCCUGCGGCUCCCGGAGCAGGGCGGNNNNNNNNNNNNNNNNNNNNGCACUGGGGUCCCCCAGCAUAAGGCCUCCAGCCCCUUGGCUGGCUGUGGGCCGGGAUCUCACAUGAGAGCAAGGGUUCGGCUUCCCGGCCGCGACACUCCGGCCGCUUCCUCACGAUGGGUUUUGCAGUGCAGGGGAGCAGCCGAGCGGCCGAAGGGCUGCCCGGCCUGAAAUGGGCAGCGCCGGGGGCACCGAUACAGGAGGAUGAGCCCAGGCGAGGAGUGCAGCCCCGACAUGGCAGCACUGGGCACCAUCGACACGGGAAGAGAUGCCUGGUACAGAGGAGACAUUGACACUGCCUUGUCUGCAUCUGCCCACUGCAAAAGAUCUUGUGGGCACCCUUCUCAGUUCUACCCUUGGAAUCAGAACUGGGAGAGACCCUCUGUGCAGAGAGAGGCACUUGGCAUGGAUUUAUUCCCUGACAGAAGAGGCUGGGUUUGCUGCUGUUCAGGGCAACUUGCUGUGGACAGCCAUGUACCUGUAUACCUGCCUCAGAGUAUAUGUCUUGUGCACAGACACCCCAGCUUGCUACAGUUCCAGGGUGAUUUCAGCUCUAGCUACAGGAUGUUCCCACUAACAGUCACUCCUUCCUGUUACAGCUGCAGGUCAGCUCUGCUGUCCCUCAUGAAGAGCAGAUGUCCUGCUCAACCAUGCUGUUUGCACAGCCUGCAGACGGAUGUCACAGCUCAAGCUAAUGGACACUCCAGCUGCUGGGCAGGUCCUACCACUGGCCCUGUGGAUAAGAGAUGUUCCUGCUGAUGGGCUCUCCAGCACGUUACUGCUCAAGCAAAGCUCCAGUGGGAAAACUGCAGGCCUUCCCCAGUGCACGGGACAGAGAGCUGUGAGGAAGAAGAGGAAGAGGAGGAGGAAGGAAGAUUGCGAGUGAAUGAAAAGUAACUGGUGCCACCCCCAUCUCCUAGUCUUCAUGUGAGAGAUUUGCCAGGUAAACAUCCACUGUUUCUCUGAGCUUGUCUGCUCAGGCUUCAGCUCCCGCAUGGGCAGGCUCGGUGCCCCAUCUAGCGUCCACAUGCCCGAACAACCACGCCGGAGACCGGCGCUUCCCCAGGUGCUGAGGGAAUCUCUCAAGCAACCAUGGAAAAGCCUGGAAAACUGCCCCGCUCCUGCUCAAGGCUCGGCUUCGGUGCAGUAUCAGACUGAGAAAACCAGCCCUCUGUGAUGCACUGAAUAGGUUCUCGGCGCUGUUAUCUCCUUUUCUCCCGACCUAUGCAAAUCCACCCUUCCUUGGUUGGGUUUUCCCAUUAUUAAAACAAGUCUGGUUGCCACUUCAACUUUGUGACGUUCAGUUUUGUAGAUUAAGGCCAGGUUGUCACUUAUUAGAUAGCAACAACCUCCAAGUUCUUUGCAACCCUUUCUAUGUCUGUCAGGAAAAGUGACUUAGUUGCUCCAUUUCUCAACCCAACAAAUCCAUCAGUGUUCUCUCACUUCCGUGCUCCUGCCUGCUUCACUUCUCUGCAAUGCCUGCAAGGAGACCUCAACUAAAACAUGCAGGAAGGCUGAACGUGUGUGUCUUUGCUUAAAGAAAUGCUCUCUGCGUCAGGACUAAGACAAAGGAGGGGAGAGCGGUGCUGUGUCUGCUCCUCCUCUGUGACUAAGCGGAGCAUUCAGAUAUCCGAAGCUGUCAAACAGUAACAAAAGUCUCCCUGAGUACGCUAGAAACCUUGCAGUGCUGUAUGAAUAUUAAAUAAGCUGAAUAUUAAAUCAGCCUACUUGUCAUGUCUCUUCUAAUGAUGAAUUAACAUUAGUGUCAAAGCUUGUUAAUGCGAUAU
rnacentral:lncRNA from 14 species